AGUUGAGCACACAGAUUAAUGAGCCAAUACUGAGCCUCCUCCCUUCUGACCUCUCAGCACCUGCUCAACUAAGCUCAGGGGAAACUCUUGAGUCUUCUUCUUAAAUUGGUAACGCUUGCCCUUUCUUUCUCAAACAAAUCAACGCCCAACACCACCACCAAAUUAUAGGCAACCAACGCGUAUCCAACAGCAUAAAAUAGUUCCCAAGAGCAUAAAAUAGUUCCCAACAGCGCCAGCGCAGGGGGCAAAACAGAGCGACCAAAUGGGGGCACCCUCAGGGGAGUUGCGCUCAUCUGGAGCGAGACGCCAGCCUGGGAAAGCGGAACCCCUUUCCCGCCCCGCCCCGAGGACUCACGCUCAGGUGCAACGCCGAGACUCCCGGGGGAAAGAGAGGUGACCGUCUCGGCGCGACCGCCCACACCUCUUGCUCCAAAUGACCCCAGCACACAGGAGAGGUCCUCUCAGCGUGGGACUCCGUCUCUCCCGAAGGCAGGGAGCACAACGAAGCGGCCACUCGUCUCUGCAGCCGCGCUACCGGCCCGCAGCCUGGCUCGCAGGUGAGAUGUGACUUUUGCCUUCCACCACGACUGUGCCCGGUCUUGGGUAUGUCUUUAUCAGCAGCAGGACAAUGGACUCCUACAGUAAAUUGGUACCAGUAGAGUGGGCGCUGCUGAAAAGAUACCCAAAAAUGUGAAAGUGACUUUGGAACUGGGUAACACGCAGAGGUUGGAACAGUUUGGAGGGCUCAGAAUAAGACAGAAAAAUGUGGGAAAGUUUGGAACUUCCUAGAGACUUGUUGAAUGGCUUUGUGCAAAAUGCUGAUAAUGACAUGGACAAUGAAAUCCAGGUUAAUAUGGUCUCUGAUGGAGAUGAAGAACUUGUUGGGAACUGGAGCAAAGGUGACUCUUGUUUUAGCAAAGAGACUGGUGGCAUUUUGCCCCUGCUCUAGAGAUUUUUGGAACUUUGAACUUAAGAGAGAUGAUUUAGGUAUCUGGCAGAAGAAAUUUCUAAGCAGCAAAGCACUCAAGAGGUGACUUGAGUGCUGUUAAAGGCAUACAGUUUUAAAAGGGAAACAGUAUAAAAGUUCAGAAAAUUUGCAGCCUGACAAUGUGAUAGAAAGGAAAAUCCCAUUUUCUGAGGAGAAAUUCAAGCUGGCUGCAGAAAUUUGCAUAUGUAAUGAGGAGCUGAAUGUUAAUCCCCAAGACAAUGGGAAAAAUGUCUCCAGGGCAUGUUAGAGGUUUUCACGGCAGCUCCUUCCAUCACAGGCCUGGAAGCCUAAAAGGUAAAAGUGGUUUCUUGGGCCAGGCCCAGGGUCCCUCUGCUGUGUGCAGUCUAGGGACUUGAUGCCCUGCAUCCCAGCUGCUCCAGCUGUGACUAAAAGGAGCCAAGGUACAGCUCAGUCCAUGGCUUCAGAGGAUGCAAGCCCCAAGCCUUGGCAGCUUCCAUGUGGUGUUGAGCGUGCCAGUGCACAGAAGUCAAGAAUUGGGGUUUGGGAACCUCCGCCUAGGUUUCAGAGGAUGUAUGGAAAUGCCUAGAUGUCCAGGCAGAAGUUUCCUGCAGGGGCGGGGCCCUCAUGGAGAACCUCUGCUAGGGCAGUGUGGAAGGGAAAUGUGGGAUCAGAGCCCCCACACAGAAUCCCUGCUGGGACACUGCCUAGUGGAGAUGUGAGAAGAGGGCCACCAUCCUCCAGACCCCAGAAUAGUAGAUCCACUGAUAUCUUGCACCAUGCACCUGGAAAACCUGCAGAAGUCAAUGCCAGCCUGUGAAAGCAGCCAGUAGGGAGGCUGUACCAUGCAAAGCCACAGGGGUGGAGCUGCCCAAGACCAUGGAAAUCCAUCUUGCAUCAGCAUGACUUGGAUGUGAGACAUGGAGUCAAGGGAGAUCAUUCUCGAGUUUUAAGAUUUGACUGCCCUGCUGGAUUUUAGACUUACAUGGAACUUGUAGCCCCUUUGUUUUGGCCAAUUUCUUCCAUUUGGAAUAGGCGUAUUUACCCAAUACCUGUACCCCCAUUGUAUCUAAGAAGUAACUAACUUGCUUUUGAUUUUACAGGCUCAUAGGUGGAAGGGACUUACCUUGUCUUAGGUGAGACUUUGAACUAUGGACUUUUGAGUUAAUGCUAAAUGAGUUAAGACUUUGGGGAACUUUUGGGAAGCCAUGAUUAGUUUUGAAAUGUGAGGAAAUGAGAUUUGGGAGGGGCCAGGGCAGAAUGAUAUGGUUUGGCAGUGUCCCCACUCAAAUCUCAUCUUCAACUGUGGCUCCUAUUAUUCUCUGGUUUUGUGAGAGGGACCCGGAGAUAAUUUUAUCAUAGGGACAUGUUCCCCCAUACUGUUCUCAUGGUAGUGAAUAAGUCUCAUGAGAUCUGAUGGUUUUAUAAGGGGAAACCCCUUUCACUUGGCGCUCAUUCUCUUUUCUUGUCUGCCACCAGGUGAGACUUGCCUUUCUCCUUCUGCCAUGAUUGUGAGGCUUCUUCAGCCACGUGGAACUGUGAGUCAUUAAAUCUCUUUCUUUUGUAAAUCACCCAGUCUUGGGUAUGUCUUUAUCAGCAGCAUAAAAUGGACUAAUAUUUAAUAUAAUUACUAAUAUAUUUAUGUAUAUUCACAUUGUU
rnacentral:lncRNA from 1 species